UGCAAGUCGAACGCGAAAGUCCCCUUCGGGGGAUGAGUAGAGUGGCGCACGGGUGAGUAACACGUAGGUAAUCUACCUUCGGGUGGGGAAUAACCCAGGGAAACUUGGGCUAACACCGCAUAAUGCAGCGGCACCACAUGGUGACAGUUGUUAAAGCGGGGGAUUUUCGGACCUCGCGCCUGAAGAGGAGCCUGCGGCAGAUUAGCUUGUUGGUAAGGUAACGGCUUACCAAGGCGACGAUCUGUAGCCGGCCUGAGAGGGCGGUCGGCCACACUGACACUGACAUACGGGUCAGACUCCUACGGGAGGCAGCAGUCGGGAAUUUUGGGCAAUGGGCGAAAGCCUGACCCAGCAACGCCGCGUGAAGGAUGAAAUCCCUCGGGAUGUAAACUUCGCAAGAGUGGGAAGAAUUAGUAGGGGACAAUACCCCCUAUGAUGACGGUACCAUUUGUAAGCUCCGGCUAACUCCGUGCCAGCAGCCGCGGUAAUACGGGGGGAGCAAGCGUUGUUCGGAUUUACUGGGCGUAAAGGGCGCGUAGGCGGCCAGCGCAAGUCGGUUGUGAAAUCUCCGGGCUUAACUCGGAAAGGUCAACCGAUACUGCGCGGCUAGAGUGCAGAAGGGGCAACUGGAAUUCUCGGUGUAGCGGUGAAAUGCGUAGAUAUCGAGAGGAACACCUGCGGCGAAGGCGGGUUGCUGGGCUGACACUGACGCUGAUGCGCGAAAGCCAGGGGAGCGAACGGGAUUAGAUACCCCGGUAGUCCUGGCCUUAAACGAUGGAUGCUUGGUGUCUGGGGUUUUAUAGUCCCCGGGUGCCGUAGCUAACGCGUUAAGCAUCCCGCCUGGGGAGUACGGUCGCAAGACUGAAACUCAAA
rnacentral:rRNA from 1 species